rnacentral:rRNA from 1 species
GAUCCUGGCUCAGAACGAACGCUGGCGGCAGGCCUAACACAUGCAAGUCGAACGCCCCGCAAGGGGAGUGGCAGACGGGUGAGUAACACGUGGGAACCUUCCCUAUAGUACGGAAUAGCCCAGGGAAACUUGGAGUAAUACCGUAUACGCCCGAGAGGGGAAAGAUUUAUCGCUAUAGGAUGGGCCCGCGUAGGAUUAGCUAGUUGGUGAGGUAACGGCUCACCAAGGCGACGAUCCUUAGCUGGUUUGAGAGAACGACCAGCCACACUGGGACUGAGACACGGCCCAGACUCCUACGGGAGGCAGCAGUGGGGAAUAUUGGACAAUGGGCGCAAGCCUGAUCCCAGCCAUGCCGCGUGAGUGAUGAAGGCCUUAGGGUUGUAAAGCUCUUUUGGCGGGGACGAUAAUGACGGUACCCGCAGAAUAAGUCCCGGCUAACUUCGUGCCAGCCGCAGC